AUCAGUCAUAAAAUUGUCGCCUCGCGCAACGGUUGCUUCAAUAAUGGAUUUGUUUCUGUCAAUUUGCAUUUUGAUUUUUUUAUUUCUGCACGUAUUCGUCAAAUUUUUACAGUGGAUCGGUCAUGAUUUAAGAUUUAUUUAUGGUCUGCUCAUGUGCUGCUUCAGUCCAUGUUUCAGGCUAUGCAAAAAACUGUGCCAACUGUUGCGGCAUUUAUUCGAAUUAGUUCUGGAGUAGAGCGUGCGAGUUUUCAAUGUACAAAAACUAUUUGUUUAAAAGUGCAAAAUAUUGCAAAUAAUUGUUAAAUAAUUGGUGUUUUUUUUUGUUAACAAAAUAAAGGUUAAGAAUUAUAAGUUUGGAAUUUACGAUUUCUUUUUAAUUAUAUAUUGUGACAAGAAUCAACGCAAAAAUAAUCAGAAAAGCUUAAUCCAAGCUCCGACACACUCACUUUUUUAAGACUGAAGGAUUUAAGGACUCUAAUCGAUUCUAAGGACUAUUACGAAUCUAACGAGGCUACUCCUUCCAGGAUCGGAUAUAUAUUAAGCCAAAUAUAGACAUUUUAAGUUAAAAUCGAAAAUAUAUGUAAAAAACAAUAAAUUUGUUUAUU